rnacentral:rRNA from 1 species
CCUACGGGGGGCAGCAGUGGGGGAUAUUGCACAAUGGGGGGAACCCUGAUGCAGCGACGCCGCGUGGGGGAAGAAGCGCCUCGGCGCGUAAAGCCCUGUCAGCAGGGAAGAAAAUGACGGUACCUGACGACGAAGCCCCGGCUAACUACGUGCCAGCAGCCGCGGUAAUACGUAGGGGGCAAGCGUUAUCCGGAUUUACGGGGUGUAAGGGGGGCGCAGACGGCGAGGCAAGCCAGGAGUGAAAGCCCGGGGCCCAACCCCGGGACUGCCCUUGCAACUGCGUGGCUGGAGUGCAGGAGGGGUAGGCGGAAUGCCUGGUGUAGCGGUGAAAUGCGUAGAUAUCAGGAGGAACACCGGUGGCGAAGGCGGCCUGCUGGACUGCAACUGACGUUGAGGCCCGAAAGCGUGGGGAGCAAACAGGAUUAGAUACCCUUGUAGUC